rnacentral:rRNA from 1 species
UACGUAGGGUGCAAGCGUUGUCCGGAAUUAUUGGGCGUAAAGGGCUCGUAGGCGGUUUGUCGCGUCGGGGAGUGAAAACUCAGGGCUUAACCCUGAGCCUGCUUCCGAUACGGGCAGACUAGAGGUAUGCAGGGGAGAAUGGAAUUCCUGGUGUAGCGGUGAAAUGCGCAGAUAUCAGGAGGAACACCGGUGGCGAAGGCGGGUCUCUGGGCCAUUACUGACGCUGAGGAGCGAAAGCAUGGGGAGCGAACAGG